CGACAGCGGUGCCACUGGCCUCGCGUAAUUCCCGAGGCCGACCGUGGGCUUUAAGUCCGGGUUUGUUUUGCUCUCCUCCGCCAGAGGCCUGAAGGGUGUGUUUUCACUUUCAGAGAUUAAACCCGGAGUGCCACUGGCGAGGAACGGACAUGCUCGGCUUCUGCCUUCAGUCUCUGGUGUCGUGCUAUGUUUACCCAAAAAGGAGAGACUGAGACCCUGUUAUUUUAAUCUUUGACUUCUUAUUGGAUUAUAAUAUAAGUGUCACAAUAAGCUAAAAACUGCGGAAAGAGCACUGUGGAUCUGAGCAUGGUUGGAUCCUGAACGGAAGGUGCCGGCGCUGAGGAAAGGAGGAAGGGGAGGAAUGGCAUCCCGGGAGAGGCUGUACGAGCUGUGGAUGCUUUACUGCAGCAAGAAAGAUCCAGAUUACCUGAAGCUGUGGUUGGACAGUUUUGUUUCUAGCUAUGAACAGUUUUUGGACGUGGACUUUGAGAAGCUGCCAACUAGG
rnacentral:lncRNA from 1 species